ACGGAGGGUGCAAGCGUUAAUCGGAAUUACUGGGCGUAAAGCGCACGUAGGCGGUUUUUUAAGUCGGAUGUGAAAGCCCUGGGCUUAACCUGGGAAUUGCAUCCGAUACUGAAAGACUAGAGUACGGUAGAGGGGGGUGGAAUUCCAGGUGUAGCGGUGAAAUGCGUAGAGAUCUGGAGGAACACCGGUGGCGAAGGCGGCCCCCUGGACUGAUACUGACGCUGAGGUGCGAAAGCGUGGGGAGCAAACAGGA
rnacentral:rRNA from 1 species